CAAAAACCCCAAUGGGUCGGAUUAGCCACGUUUCACCGCUCUCCUCCUCCAUCUCACGCAGCUAAGGGAAGAAACAGAAGUAGCAGUUCCUGAACCAGAAAUUGAUCUUGAAGAUCUCCUGGAGGUUCCUAAUGAAGAACAGAAAUUAAAACUACAGGUAAGAUAGAGGGACUUGUGGACUGUAAAGUGGGGACUUCUUCCAUGAUACAGAAAAGAGAAGCAGUGGAGUGCCAGUUGCAUACUACUUGUGAAUGAUCUAAAACACCCCAGUUUCUUUUAGCCUGUGAUGUGUACUAACAUUAUAUACCCUUUUCGCAGCUAAAGGGGGUGGGGAAAGCAGAUCAACUGAUAAAUUACUAAAAUGAUUCUUCCUUGGCUUGCAGGAAAUUCUCCAUGAAUGCUCCAGCCCAACAGAGGUGAGUGAAACACUGUCAAUGUAUGAGGGUGUCACACUGUGCUGUGAGAGCGUGUUUGUUGCUACUUGGCCGAACAGCCAGGAAGACACUGAGCAUAACAUGACACCUCAUGUUUGUUUAAUUCCCAAUGGGAGGUGUUUGCAUUUUAUUCUGCUGUGUUAUAAAAACAAAUGUAAAUCUACAUGGGUGAGCUGAAGACAGAGUGGUGGAACAGAUAAAGAAUUAUGCAGUGCAGUCAAAGAUGAAAGUUCAUUCCUUUUUUUGGCCAUCCUGUGCUGCCCUGGCCGAGUGGCUAUUUGGUUCUCAGUGCAGAAGAGCCAAGGACUGUGAUAUUGCUCACAUCACCACCUCGCAUGCUGCUAACUAAAGGCAUUCUAGCCUAGACCACUCUAGUCUUAUGAGUAACAAGAGUUUAGGAUGACGCUGAGAUUGGAUUGGGCAGACAAAACGUUGAGCCAAGGUCAGUUUUGUAUGUGACUUUUUUUUUCCUCUGUGAACUUUACAAGUCCUUUUUUUGAGUUAGGGGUUAAGGAAAUGUCACAAGCUGUCAUUAUGUCCAAGGAAGCAGAGCCUAAUAUUCUGCAGUGUGGCGUAUGCAUCACAGCAAUUGCCCUCACUGCACUCCAUCCCUGUGCAAAAGGGGGACCCCCAUUGCUGCUCUAGCCAACUGCACCACAUAUGAACACUGUACUCAGACAUUAUUCAUCACUCUUGUGCCUUGUCCAGCCCUUCUGUGUGGCUGCACAGCGAUGGUGGAUGCAUGAUUCUCACAGAAAUUAAACUUGGCCCUAGCGCUCAUCACAGAUAGUCUCCCAGCAUGGGGUUCAAAAAGGCCAGCAAUAGGCCUAGUCUCCAAGUUUUGGGCAAGACCGCAAAAUUCCCAGGCAGCUAACUGGAAAAAGUUUGUUAUAAUGAUUCAGAAAACAUGAAUGCACGUUGCUGACAGCAUGCUAUUUAUUAACUACAAACUAAUAUCGCUGUCCCAUUAGCCAAAGUAUGUGCUUUCAGCUUGGAAGUCUUGAAUCCAGUCCUCUUUAGGGAUCACGGAAGCCCAUAUGCAGAAAGCAGACAGAGGAAACAGGUUUCCUCUGAAGGAAUUGCCUGAAAAGGAACAAUUCUAGGCAUUUACCCCUAGAGCAUGCUGUGGCAAGCAACCUGUGAUCACUGGCGUGGAGAAGCUGGGCUUCCACACAGCACAAUCUAUAGCAAGCAGCAAUACUGCCAGUGACCUUACCUAAUUACUGGGACAUGUAGUGAUCUCUUUGGAUGAAGAAAGGCUGCACACUCCUUUAUAGUGAUGUUGCUUGUCAAGGAGAAGGUAAAGAAAGUUUGCAAUGGUCACACUGAUUUCUGCUUGGAAUAACCAGACGCUCCAGUUUUGUUCAUAGUCCUUGGCUGUGUCAGCAAAGUUGAUCUCCAGUAACUGCCCCCUAUCAGUCUGCCAGUCCUCAGUCCCUGCUCUGGGUUAUCGUUAGUCCUCCAUGUUCUCUGCCUCCACCCCAUCUCUGCCAGUCACUUCCUUGUAGAAACGGCCCAGCUCCAGGAUGGUUUGCAAUACACAGCACAGAGCUUGAGCUUGACAGGUUCAACAAGGAAGCAACAAACAAAAAGGGCAGCAUGCUUUGCCCUAGAUUGGAAGGGCAGCAGAUGUGGGUGGGAGGUUAUGGUGGCAAUAGGAAGUGGUGGAAGAGAGGGCAGUUGCAUCCUGAGGUCACCUCAUCGUGGAAGAAGCAGGCAUCAGGGAUGAAGAGGAGCAGGCUGGCUGAUGGGAAGAAAGCAAAAUACAGCUGCUCUAGAGGGAACCCGGGGAAGGGAACAGGAGGGGCUUUUUGACCCUUCACACUCAUCACAUUCUCCAUCCCUAAGCUAAAAGAUAGGUUAGCUGAAUGCAUGUCAAAAUCCUGGGUUUUGUCCAACAUGAAGGGGAGCGUGGGAAUAAUGCAGAAGGCAUAGCACUCUUUAGGCUGGU